rnacentral:rRNA from 1 species
UGAUCCUGGCUCAGAACGUACGCUGGCGGCACGCGUAACACAUGCAAGUCGAACGAAGUAGCAAUACUUAGUGGCAGACGGGUGAGUAACAUGUGUGUAUCUACCCUUUGGCCUGGAAUAACACGAGGAAACUUGUGCUAAUACCGGAUAAGUCUUUACGGAGAAAGCUUUAUGCACCAUUGGAUGAGCCCGCACUUGAUUAGUUUGUUGGUAGGGUAAUGGCCUACCAAGACUAUGAUCAAUAGCUGAUUUGAGAGGAUGAUCAGCCACAUUGGGACUGAGACACGGCCCAAACUCCUACGGGAGGCAGCAGUGGGGAAUCUUGCACAAUGGAGGAAACUCUGAUGCAGCGAUGCCGCGUGAGUGAAGAAGGCCCUUGGGUUGUAAAGCUCUUUCGUCGGGGAAGAAAAUGACUGUACCCGAAUAAGAAGGUCCGGCUAACUUCGUGCCAGCAGCCGCGGUAAUACGAAGGGACCUAGCGUAGUUCGGAAUUACUGGGCUUAAAGAGUUCGUAGGUGGUUGAAAAAGUUAGUGGUGAAAUCCCAGAGCUUAACUCUGGAACUGCCAUUAAAACUUUUCAGCUAGAGUAUGAUAGAGGAAAGCAGAAUUUCUAGUGUAGAGGUGAAAUUCGUAGAUAUUAGAAAGAAUACCAAUUGCGAAGGCAGCUUUCUGGAUCAUUACUGACACUGAGGAACGAAAGCAUGGGUAGCGAAGAGGAUUAGAUACCCUCGUAGU